CCAGGCUAGAGCUGAGGGCAAGCAACUUCUCUGCCUAACUAAUAUUCUCAGGAUUUCAAACAUUUCCUAUUCAGCAACUCUGGGGAGCAGCCCCAACCUCAGGCUCUCAUAGCUGGUCCCUGGGCAGACCCUGGCCGUGGUGCUCUCCUAGAGACGUCUGCAGCCCCUUCUCUGAUCACUUGCCCAGUUUCCACACAAAGUUUCCCUCUCUCCACCUUGGAAAAGGGACAUUUCUUGUCCCAGCCCCUUUGCGUGUGGUCUCUGGGGUUCUGGGAGCCUGGUGCCCUGGGGCCUGUGUGGCCUUUCAGGGCACAAGCGGGUAUUCUGCACCUGCUCUCUGCCAAACACUGCAUUAAGGAACUGUACCAAUGGCACAUGCUACUUACUAACACCAGGCGGUAACAGGCAACUGUACCAUCGCUUGCACGAAAUCCAAGCAAAAACAAACAACAAAACCAAACACAAAAACAACACCGCAAAGGUUCCCACUCCUCCACUUUUGAGGCUGGAAGUUCACUUUUCAGGCAAAACAGCCCUCCGCGGGCACCACCACGUGCUCGGGCACGCCCCAGCCGUGGGGACACCGCACGUGUGGCACCUCCGGCCACCUCGGGGCGGGUAGCAGCGCCCAGCGGGGCUCGGCGGCACCCCAGCGCCCCUCAGCGCCGCCCCGGCCCCGCCGCCCGGGGGAGCCCUUCCCAAGGGCCGCCUGCCCCCGCCCGGUCCCCCGUACCGGCGCUGACAGAGCGGGCCGGGCCCGAGGGGGGCGAGCGGCCGGGCCGGCCCCGGCGGUAGGCGGACGGAGAACCACUUACGGCGCCGCUGCCCCGCGGGGGGGACUUCGCCUCUUCCCAGCUCUUCCCGGCCCGGCGGGGGACCCAGCUCCUGCGAUCGCGGCCGCGGCGAGUCAGGGCGGCGCAGGGCUCCUCGCAGGCCAUGCAGGACUGGUUGCUGUUCCCAGCUCCCUGUGCUCCUCUGUGUAGAUCUGCAGGAGGAAAGAGAGGGAGAUCCACAGCUGACAUCAAACCAAAAUUCAAAACAUUAAUCUGACUGAAUCAAUGCAUCAUGUGCUGUGGCUGCCUGCGAUGUGAUUGUGUACCCCCGUGCAACCCAUGACAAGUCUGGCUUGUUCUGCAAUGUGGUAACGCACACAUCUGGUAUUAAGACUGAUGAAAUCACAGCUUUGCUUGUUCCUGGGGCUGUGCUCUCUUUUGUAAGUACUGAGUAUGCUUAAAUUCUCUUUUAGCACAGCUUUACAAAAUGAGAAACAAGAUGAAUUUAAACUAAAAGAAGCAUCUAAAAUGUAGCAGCAUGUCUAAACUCAAAGAUUUUAAUCAAAACAUAAAGUGCUCGAAGGGCAAAUUGUAUAAAGACUGUCUGAUGUUUUUAGUUAGGACCACUUUUUAAAUGAUGAAAAGUGCAGUCUGCUGAUACUUUGAUACAAUCUGAGAUGCCAUACUGUUUGUAGAUAUAAACGAUGUCUCAGAUUUCUUGUAUCUACAAAGGCAUGACCUAUCCAGUUACAAUGUGAGGCUAAAUCUUACUGUGUUUCAUUUUUAAAUUGGCAGUAAUUUACAUGGCUUUUAUGGCUGGUUUUAGGUUGAAAUUGUAUUUGGGUAUUGCUAAUCCAUUAAGGAAUACUUUUAUUCUGCAAGUGAAAUUUGUAUGAAAUAAAGAGUGGAGAAAGAGUACUUGUGGCA
rnacentral:lncRNA from 1 species